AGAGUUUGAUCCUGGCUCAGAAUGAACGCUGGCGGCGUGCUUAACACAUGCAAGUCGAACGAUGAAGCCUAGCUUGCUAGGUGGAUUAGUGGCGCACGGGUGAGUAAUAUAUAGGUAACGUGCCUCUUAGUCUGGGAUAGCCAUUGGAAACGAUGAUUAAUACUGGAUACUCCUUCUAACUCUAAUGUUAGUCGGGAAAGUUUUUCGCUAAGAGAUCGGCCUAUUUCCCAUCAGCUUGUUGGUAGUGUAAGAGACUACCAAGGCUAUGACGGGUAGCGGGUUUGAGAGGAUGAUCCGCCACACUGGUACUGAGACACGGACCAGACUCCUACGGGAGGCAGCAGUGAGGAAUAUUGCACAAUGGAGGAAACUCUGAUGCAGCAACGCCGCGUGGAGGAUGACGCAUUUCGGUGUGUAAACUCCUUUUAUGAGUCAAGAAAAUGACGGUAGCUCAUGAAUAAGCACCGGCUAACUCCGUGCCAGCAGCCGCGGUAAUACAGAGGUGGCGAGCGUUGUUCGGAUUUACUGGGCGUAAAGGGUGCGUAGGCGGUUUGGUAAGUCGGAUGUGAAAGCCCAAGGCUCAACUUUGGAACUGCAUCCGAUACUGCUGAAUUAAGAGUACAGGAGGGGAGAGCGGAAUUCUUGGUGUAGCGGUGAAAUGCGUUGAUAUCAAGAAGAACACCGGUGGCGAAGGCGGCUCUCUGGAAUGUUACUGACGCUGAGGCACGAAAGCUGGGGGAGCAAACAGGAUUAGAUACCCUGGUAGUCCCAGCCGUAAACGGUGUCGACUUGGUGUGGGGGGAAUUGACCCCCUCCGUGCCGGAGCUAACGCGUUAAGUCGACCGCCUGGGGAGUACGACCGCAAGGUUAAAACUCAAAGAAAUUGACGGGGGCCCGCACAAGCGGAGGAGCAUGUGGUUUAAUUCGAUGAUACGCGAAGAACCUUACCUAGCCUUGACAUAUUUUAGAACACUUUAGAGAUAGAGUGGUGCCUUCGGGAGCUAAUUUACAGGUGCUGCACGGCUGUCGUCAGCUCGUGUCGUGAGAUGUUGGGUUAAGUCCCGCAACGAGCGCAACCCUCGUCACUAGUUACUAACGGUUCGGCCGAGGACUCUAGUGAGACUGCCUUCGUAAGGAGGAGGAAGGUGAGGACGACGUCAAGUCAUCAUGGCCCUUACGGCUAGGGCAACACACGUGCUACAAUGGUUGGGACAAUGAGACGCAAUACCGCGAGGUGGAGCAAAUCUCAUAAAAUAUCUCCCAGUUCGGAUUACACUCUGCAACUCGAGUGUAUGAAGUUGGAAUCGCUAGUAAUCGUAGAUCAGCAAUGCUACGGUGAAUACGUUCCCGGGUCUUGUACUCACCGCCCGUCACACCAUGGGAGUUGAAUUCAUUCGAAGCGGGGAUGCUAAAAUAGCUACCUUCCACAGUGGAUUUAGUAACUAGGGUGAAGUCGUAACAAGGUAACC
rnacentral:rRNA from 1 species